rnacentral:lncRNA from 1 species
AUAAAAAUACCCUCAUCGAGGACCACAAGUCCCAUAAUGCACUUCAUUAGAGUCUCUCCGCCGGUACUCUUGGGAGAUGUAGUCCAGAAUAGCGCAAGCUUACAGGUGGCUGAGAAAGUAAGGAGGAUUGUGCUAGAUACUCAAGGAGUGGAUUCAAAGCGCUCUUUUCCGUUUGAACCAGAGCAAAUAUCAAGGGACAAAUAUUACAUGGUUAAAACUUGCAGAGGUUGCUAAGGAUUUCUUUGCAAUUAUUUUGAGAAUUUGAAUUGGACGUGACGUGAGCACUGAAGAGUAUGCAACAGCUACAUUAAAUUUUUAAAUACUUUUCGAAUUUAGUUUUAAAAAACACGUUAAAAAAAAGCUUGGGUAAAGCAAUACCUGUGGUUUACAGAGGCUGUAGUACAAGAAAAUGCUGCUCGUUUUUUUCCUCCAAUAAAACAAAGGAAAGAAAUUGCCCCCAGUGAAGAUUAGUUCAACUCCUGUGUUCAUUAUUGCUUCCAGAUCUCCUAGCCAUCCGUGCCACCAACUGAAGACCAGUCAUUUAAAUAUGUGAGCCUGUGGAGCCCAUUCUCUUUCAAACCAGCAUACAGGGUAUCUUAACAAGAAGGAAUUGGGAGAAUCCUACCAUAGAGUUUGGGGCUUUGAUAUAGAACUCUCAACUGCUUCUCCAGUACCAUGUCUUCUUCCUCUAUGCUGUCAUGCUUCCAGCCAUGGUGACAAUGGACUAAACCUCUGAAUGAUUGUUUCACUCUCCUGUAGCUCUGAGUAGCUUGGAACUCACAGAGAGCCACCUGCCUGUGUAUCCUGAGUCCUGGGACUAAAGUUGUAUGCCACUACUGCCUGGCCUCUAUGGCUGUGGCAAGCUUUGCAUUCUGAUCUCCAUGCAAGCUUUAUUAGAUCAUGAACAAUAUAUCACCACAUGGGUCUUCGGUUCUAUUUCAUGGAUCAAAGUGUCCGUUUUUAUGCCAGUGUCGUGCAGUUUUAAUUACUAUAGCUGCCUGGUGUAACUUUAAACCAGAGUGAUGUUAUCUUCAGCCAUUGUUUUAUCAUUCAGAAUUGUUUCUGUUCUUUUGGG